rnacentral:rRNA from 1 species
UACAGAGGGGGCAAGCGUUAUUCGGAAUUAUUGGGCGUAAAGGGCGCGUAGGCGGCCUGGCAAGUGGAAGGUGAAAUCCCUCGGCUUAACCGAGGAACUGCCUCCCAAACUGCUUGGCUUGAGACCGGGAGAGGUGAGUGGAAUUCCCAGUGUAGCGGUGAAAUGCGUAGAUAUCGGGAAGAACACCCGUGGCGAAGGCGGCUCUCUGGGACGGUACUGACGCUGAGACGCGAAAGCGUGGGGAGCGAACAGG